rnacentral:rRNA from 1 species
AGCAGCCGCGGUAAUUCCAGCUCCAAUAGCGUAUAUUAAAGUUGUUGCAGUUAAAAAGCUCGUAGUCGAAUUUCGGGGUUAGUAGAUUGGUCAUGCCUCUGGUAUGCACUGGUCUCACUGAUUCCUCCUUCCUGAUGAGCCGUAAUGCCAUUAAUUUGGUGUUGCGGGGAAUUUGGACUGUUACUUUGAAAAAAUUAGAGUGUUUAAAGCAAGCUAACGCUUGAAUACAUUAGCAUGGAAUAAUGAAAUAGGACGUUCGAUCCUAUUUUGUUGGUUUCUAGGAUUGACGUAAUGAUUAAUAGGGAUAGUUGGGGGCAUUAGUAUUCAAUUGUCAGAGGUGAAAUUCUUGGAUUUAUUGAAGACUAACUACUGCGAAAGCAUUUGCCAAGGAUGUUUUCAUUAAUCAAGAACGAAAGUUAGGGGAUCGAAGACGAUCAGAUACCGUCGUAGUCUUAACCAUAAACUAUGCC